CAUAGACACGUCGGCUGCUGUUCAAGUUGUAAACAUACGGGGUCGUUGCGGGUUCUUGUUACUAUGUGCAUCGAAUUUUGCAGAUUUCACAAUAGUUUGCGGGAAGAAGGUCAAGAGAAUAAAUAUCGGAGAUGAAGAGCAGCUCUUUCGUGCAAAGCUUGUGCCCAUUUAAAUAAAUGGACGAUAAAAAGUGAGCUGUACAAAGUGGACAAUGUCGGCUGCGUGCGUGACUGCCAUCGUGUAAGCAAAUCCCGGACACGAGAGUUUAGAAACGCGUCCUCAGGAAAAUGGGACGCGCCCUUUUUCCUGAUAUAAUAAGCUUCGUCUGACACGACGUCGCCCCACACACGACGCCGGAUUACAAGCAAAUACCGACAAUCAACAAUGCACCAAACAUAUCUAAUAGGACUUUUUUUUUUUUCUACAAAAUAUUUCUUCGAAAAAACUUUUUUGUUUUUGUUGCGAUUAUUCUCGGCGCGUGUCGCCUUUCUGCCAUGCAUUUUUGUUGUUGUAUUCACAUCGAUCUUGCAUCACAAAGUCUCAACUAUUUAAUCAUCACACAUUAUUCAGAUUUAUAUUCGAGUCAAAAAUUCGGCACAUCGAAAUAGUUUUAUUGACAAUUGCACUGCCAAUGAGCCGUGCCUCCACGGAACGUAGCCCUAUUUCCACUCGAGUGAAUUAUGAUGUGGUAUGCCUUUACCGAUUAUAAUCAAUAAAAGACAAUAUACGUUAGGCAGUUAGCCGUCUAAACAAAGCAGGGAAAGAGAAAAUUCCUUAAAAAAGAGGAUGUAAGCGGAGUAAUCAACGAAGCGAAUAAAGGAAUGCCUGACGACUUGAAUCGACGCCAAUUGAUGUCAACAUCCCAUCAUUUUUCUCACCCAGAGAAAAACCUCAAAAUGAAUCGUUUUUUUCCCCCUUCACAUACAACAAGCCAAAAUUAUGCAUUUGUAUCAGUUUGUGUGACAUAUAGCUACUCCCCCCCCUCCCCUACGUAUUCUAUACAAGAUUUCUUGACGCGCAUUAAGAAACGUAUAGCAACAACAACUGAUUGUUGCUGGGGUUGCUGUGAAACAAAUAACUCUGGGCUUAUGCAUUUUGCGUCCAUGUGUCAUCGAUGUGACCUGAAUACCAAUUUUUUUUUCGUACGCCAGAUCCUACAUAUAUAUAAGGCUAAAUAUAUUUUGCAGCUGAUGAGAGUUCGUGACGUGUCGGAAUGAUUAUCAUCAGCAGAGCAUCCAGCCAAACAAUAGCAAAUAGAAGGGACGAUAGGUCAUCACUUUCAUCAGCAAAUGUGUGUUAUUUUUUUUUUAUUCUCUUCUAGAAUUUAUUUUAUUUUUUCUUGUUUCUUUUGUACUGUGUAGUUUUAAAGAAAAGAAUACAAUAACAUUUACAUGGUGACAUUUGCAUAAUCCAGCGUGAUAUUCGUGGCGUCGUCUGCUCCUUCAUUAUCAAUCGGACGCAUUUUGCCCAGCAUUCGUCCCAUAGUAAUAAAAAAAUAUGUGACGACGUUCACUUCAAUGUGGCUGCUGAAAGCGUGAAAAAUCCUGUAAUAUUACGAGAAACAAUUUUUCAAAAGAAAGAGAAUGAAAAACGUAAUAGCGGUAAUGUCUCCUUUCCAUGGUGUUAAAUGAAAAAAUAAAUGUAAACAAUUCUGCAGCGUUUGACCAAUAUGUUUCCCAGCCAUGUGUAGUACGUAACUACGUAUGCUCAAUUUCGACUUUCCACUCACACGGGAAAAAAAUUUACUUUUUGACAGCAGUAGAGUGCAGUCGUUUGUUUACAUACGAAUUUAUCGUAUGAAACGUCAAAUGUCAUUUGCUGAUUUACCUAUCCAGUGGCCAGUGA